AUUGUGUCCAUUAUGUGUUGAUGACAACUUCAUACGGCCCUCAAGUUUGUUUUCUAUAGAUUGCUUUUGUUGAUUUGUUUUCCAUUUGUUGCACUAUUUAGUAUAUAUUGUUUCGACAACUCUACUUGAUGUAUAUGAUCCAAUGAAUUGCGGCAUUGAAGCUUUUGUGGUGAUAGACUUUCAAAUGUCAUUUUAAAUGGUUCUCUAGAAUCCCAGAUCUGAACCUUGUUCCAGCAUGAGUUGCUGCCCUCCUCUCAUCAAUUUGUGUUUUUUUUUGUGUGUGUGUGUGUGGGGGGGGGGGGUUGAAUUUAUUUGAGUUCU